AUUGAACGCUGGCGGCAUGCUUUACACAUGCAAGUCGAACGGUAACAGGGAGCUUGCUCCGCUGACGAGUGGCGAACGGGUGAGUAAUAUAUCGGAACGUACCCAGAAGUGGGGGAUAACGUAGCGAAAGUUACGCUAAUACCGCAUACGAUCCACGGAUGAAAGUAGGGGACCUUCGGGCCUUAUGCUUUUGGAGCGGCCGAUAGCGGAUUAGCUAGUUGGUGAGGUAAAGGCUCACCAAGGCGACGAUCAGUAGCUGGUCUGAGAGGACGACCAGCCACACUGGAACUGAGACACGGUCCAGACUCCUACGGGAGGCAGCAGUGGGGAAUUUUGGACAAUGGGCGCAAGCCUGAUCCAGCAAUGCCGCGUGAGUGAAGAAGGCCUUCGGGUUGUAAAGCUCUUUUGUCAGGGAAGAAACGGCUGUGGCUAAUAUCCACGGCUAAUGACGGCACCUGAAGAAUAAGCACCGGCUAACUACGUGCCAGCCGCCGCCGUAA
rnacentral:rRNA from 1 species